UUGUGUGUAGGAGGAAUUGAUUAAUCUCAGUGGAAACAAGGAAACACUUGAUUUAAAUCAAUUCUCGA
rnacentral:ncRNA from 2 species